UACGUAGGGUGCAAGCGUUGUCCGGAAUUAUUGGGCGUAAAGAGCUCGUAGGCGGUUUGUCGCGUCUGCUGUGAAAUCCCAGGGCUUAACCCUGGGCCUGCAGUGGGUACGGGCAAACUAGAGUGCGGUAGGGGAGAUCGGAAUUCCUGGUGUAGCGGUGAAAUGCGCAGAUAUCAGGGGGAACACCGGUGGCGAAGGCGGAUCUCUGGGCCGUAACUGACGCUGAGGAGCGAAAGCGUGGGGAGCGAACAGG
rnacentral:rRNA from 1 species